GGAAGAUUCCCAUCAGCCGAUGCGGGUUACUUUUCUGUCCAGUGCUUCAGAGCCCCAGCUGUUUGAAAGGUGCCCUGAAUGACAACGCCUACAGCAUCCAACUCUGGAAAGCGUGGGUGAGUGGGACCCCGCAGGGCUCUUCUGUGAAGCUGGGACAUUUGGAAGGGAAUGGGGCUGGCUGAUGUUGGACUUAUUGCUGAAUAUUCUGGUCGUGAAGGGGAACCUAGCAAGUUGAGGAUUAUCCUGAGCUGCUCCUGUUUUUUUUUUUUUCCAGGCUAACAAUGGCUUUGGAG